UACGUAGGGGGCAAGCGUUGUCCGGAUUUACUGGGCGUAAAGAGCGUGUAGGCGGCCACGCAGGUCCGUUGUGAAAACUGGAGGCUCAACCUCCAGCUGUCGACGGAAACCGUGUGGCUAGAGUCCGGAAGAGGAGAGUGGAAUUCCUGGUGUAGCGGUGAAAUGCGUAGAUAUCAGGAGGAACACCGGUGGUGUAGACGGCUCUCUGGACCGUAACUGACGCUGAGACACGAAAGCGUGGGUAGCAAACAGG
rnacentral:rRNA from 1 species